rnacentral:rRNA from 1 species
AUUGAACGCUGGCGGCAUGCCUUACACAUGCAAGUCGAACGGUAACAGGUCUUCGGAUGCUGACGAGUGGCGAACGGGUGAGUAAUACAUCGGAACGUGCCCGAGAGUGGGGGAUAACGAGGCGAAAGCUUUGCUAAUACCGCAUACGAUCUCAGGAUGAAAGCAGGGGACCGCAAGGCCUUGCGCUCACGGAGCGGCCGAUGGCAGAUUAGGUAGUUGGUGGGAUAAAAGCUUACCAAGCCGACGAUCUGUAGCUGGUCUGAGAGGACGACCAGCCACACUGGGACUGAGACACGGCCCAGACUCCUACGGGAGGCAGCAGUGGGGAAUUUUGGACAAUGGGCGCAAGCCUGAUCCAGCCAUGCCGCGUGCAGGAUGAAGGCCUUCGGGUUGUAAACUGCUUUUGUACGGAACGAAAAGGUUUCUACUAAUACUAGGAGCUCAUGACGGUACUGUAAGAAUAAGCACCGGCUAACUACGUGCCAGCCGCCGCGGUAACAC